AUCUUAAAAAAAAAAAUGCUAUGAGCCUGUCCUUGGACAUGUAAGAAUUGGAGGCAAAGAGAUGUAGACUUGGAGAAGUCUGGAGCCAGCCUUCUCUCCCACAGGCUCGAGAUCAUCCUUGCCCACACAG
rnacentral:snoRNA from 1 species